AUGUGUUGUUUGAAACAUCGCAGGAAUGGCACGCAGAAAAGGAAAAAGAGGAAUUCGGCUUCGAGCAGAGGUUUCGCAGAGGAGGUGAAACUCUUUCUUUCCGCUUGUAGGUUAGGCGAGUUAGUCGAUAAGGAGAGGAAAUUUAAUGAGUUUCCCUUUUGUAAAAAGUAUUGGUUGAUUUCCCUUCUAAGGGAGAGAUUAAAAUGGAUUGAUCCUUCUUUGAGUCCCAUGUUGUUCGUUUAG
rnacentral:lncRNA from 1 species